GACGGGACCAGCUGGCUGGUGCCAUGAGGUGACUUCUGCCCAGUGCUCUGAUUGUCACUGCGAAGAGAUUCAGCCAAGCGCGGGUAAACGGCGGGAGUAACUAUGACUCUCUUAAGGUAGCCAAAUGCCUCGUCAACCAAUUAUUGACGCGCAUGAAUGGAUCAACGAGAUUCCUGCUGUCCCUAGGUGCUGUCCGGUGAACCCACAGCCAAGGGAACGGGCUUGGGGGUGUCAGCGGGGAAAGAAGACCCUGUUGAGUUUGACUCUAGUUUGAUGGUGUGCAACGACAUGUGGGGUGUAGCACAGGUGGGAGGCCAGUGCCAUGGAGUGCAGGAAGAUGUGUGUCGGCUCUUCGGGACAAUGGUGUGGCGCACCACAGAGAGUGGUGUGUGUGCCCACAGUCUCUCCUCUGGAAGUUAUGAAUGGUGCGAACCAGCAGUGAAAUACCACUACCUUCACCGUCGUUUUACUCAUCGAGUGGCUUGGGAACGGUGGCCAUUGGACAUCAGCCUCCGCAUGUCGGCAAUUCAUUGAAGGUUUGCGGGAGCUGUGGCCCUCUCCCGCUUCGUGUGCCAAGUGUGGACCACCUCGGUGGCCUGCACGACCCUGUGGGGUCUGAAACGGACCCUGUCCGUCUGUUUGCGCUUUUGGAGCCUCGGGACAAUGAUCAGUUGGGGAGUUUGGCUGGGGCGGCACGCCUGUUACAGGACAACGCAGGCGUCCUGAAGCAUUGCUCAGAUGGAAGGGAAAUCUUGCAUGGAGGAGCAGGCCAAAGGUGCUGCUGAUGCUGCGACCUUCAGUACAGGUCCAAAACGUGCAAGUGUGGCCUUGCGAUCCUUUGGUCAAGCGCACGGGUUCGGGAUAUUGAAGCCAGAGGUGUCAGAAAAAUUACCACAGGGAUAACUGGCUUGUGGCUGCCAAGCGUUCAAAGCGACGUCGCUUUUUGAUCCUUCGAUGUCGGCUCUUCCUAGCUUCCCACCCGCAGCCGAGUGGAAGAGUUGGAUUGUUCACCCACCAACAGGGAACGUGAGCUGG
rnacentral:rRNA from 1 species